GUUGGUAAGGUAACGGCNUACCAAGGCGACGAUGGGUAGGGGUCCUGAGAGGNNNNNCNNNCCACACUGGUACUGAGACACGGACCAGACUCCUACGGGAGGCAGCAGUGAGGAAUAUUGGUCAAUGGGCGCAAGCCUGAACCAGCCAUGCCGCGUGCAGGAUGACGGUCCUAUGGAUUGUAAACUGCUUUUGUACGGGAAGAAACACUCCUUCGUGAAGGAGCUUGACGGUACCGUAAGAAUAAGGAUCGGCUAACUCCGUGCCAGCAGCCGCGGUAAUACGGAGGAUCCAAGCGUUAUCCGGAAUCAUUGGGUUUAAAGGGUCCGUAGGCGGUCUUGUAAGUCAGUGGUGAAAGCCCAUCGCUCAACGGUGGAACGGCCAUUGAUACUGCAGGACUUGAAUUAUUGGGAAGUAACUAGAAUAUGUAGUGUAGCGGUGAAAUGCUUAGAGAUUACAUGGAAUACCAAUUGCGAAGGCAGGUUACUACCAAUUUAUUGACGCUGAUGGACGAAAGCGUGGGUAGCGAACAGGAUUAGAUACCCUGGUAGUCCACGCCGUAAACGAUGGAUACUAGCUGUUGGGGGCAACUUCAGUGGCUAAGCGAAAGUGAUAAGUAUCCCACCUGGGGAGUACGUUCGCAAGAAUGAAACUCAAAGGAAUUGACGGGGGCCCGCACAAGCGGUGGAGCAUGUGGUUUAAUUCGAUGAUACGCGAGGAACCUUACCAAGGCUUAAAUGCAGACUGACCGAUUUGGAAACAGAUCUUUCGCAAGACAGUUUACAAGGUGCUGCAUGGUUGUCGUCAGCUCGUGCCGUGAGGUGUCAGGUUAAGUCCUAUAACGAGCGCAACCCCUGUUGUUAGUUGCCAGCGAGUAGUGUCGGGAACUCUAACAAGACUGCCAGUGCAAACUGUGAGGAAGGUGGGGAUGACGUCAAAUCAUCACGGCCCUUACGCCUUGGGCUACACACGUGCUACAAUGGCCGGUACAGAGAGCAGCCACCUCGCGAGGGGGAGCGAAUCUAUAAAGCCGGUCACAGUUCGNNNNGGAGUCUGCAACUCGACUCCGUGAAGCGGAAUCGCUAGUAAUC
rnacentral:rRNA from 1 species